UUUUUCUUUUUCUUUUUCUUUUUCUUUUGUGUCUUUCGAGAAACCAAAAGCGCUAGUUGGGGUGGCAUCCAAAAACUGGAAAGAAGAAGCAAAGA
rnacentral:ribozyme from 13 species